rnacentral:rRNA from 1 species
UACGGGGGGAGCAAGCGUUGUUCGGAUUUACUGGGCGUAAAGGGCGCGUAGGCGGCAUGACAAGUCACUUGUGAAAUCUCCGGGCUUAACUCGGAACGGCCAAGUGAAACUGUCAAGCUAGGAGUGCAGAAGGGGCAAUCGGAAUUCUUGGUGUAGCGGUGAAAUGCGUAGAUAUCAAGAGGAACACCUGAGGUGAAGACGGGUUGCUGGGCUGACACGUGACGCUGGAGGCGCGAAAGCCAGGGGAGCAAACGGG